rnacentral:lncRNA from 1 species
ACGGGUAUAGAAAAGCGGUAGGGAAUAAUAGGGGCGACAACCCACACGAAAGGUUUGAGUGGCACAAGGGACUGUUGUAUAGGGUGACAGAUGGGGCGGGACACGGGACCGCCCAGGUUACUAAGAGGCAGCUAGUAGUACCCCGCAAGUUUCGGGCAGAGUUAUUAAGACUCAGCCAUGAUAUCCCCCUAGCCGGACAUUUAGGGGUUAAGAAAACUAGAGACCGGCUGACCCAAACCUUCUUCUGGCCCAGGGUCACUCAAGACCUCAAAUACUACUGCAGGAGGAGAGGAGAUGUACAGUAUGUAUAUAACCUAGUCACUUAUUUUAGAUACAUAGACG